UACGUAGGGUGCAAGCGUUAAUCGGAAUUACUGGGCGUAAGCGUGCGCAGGCGGUUAUGUAAGACAGAUGUGAAAUGCCCGGGCUUAACCUGGGAACUGCAUUUGUGACUGCAUGGCUAGAGUGUGUCAGAGGGGGUAGAAUUCCACGUGUAGCAGUGAAAUGCGUAGAUAUGUGGAGGAAUACCGAGUGGCGAAGGCAGCCCCU
rnacentral:rRNA from 1 species